GAUGAACGCUGGCGGCGUGCUUAACACAUGCAAGUCGAACGGUGAAGCAGAGCUUGCUCUGUGGAUCAGUUGCGAACGGGUGAGUAACACGUGAGCAACCUGCCCCUGACUCUGGGAUAAGCGCUGGAAACGGCGUCUAAUACUGGAUAUGAGCUGCGACCGCAUGGUCAGCAGUUGGAAAGAUUUUUCUGUCUGGGAUGGGCUCACGGCCUAUCAGCUUGUUGGUGAGGUAAUGGCUCACCAAGGCGUCGACGGGUAGCCGGCCUGAGAGGGUGACCGGCCACAAUGGGACUGAGACACGGCCCAGACUCCUACGGGAGGCAGCAGUGGGGAAUAUUGCACAAUGGGCGAAAGCCUGAUGCAGCAACGCCGCGUGAGGGAUGACGGCCUUCGGGUUGUAAACCUCUUUUAGCAGGGAAGAAGCGAAAGUGACGGUACCUGCAGAAAAAGCGCCGGCUAACUACGUG
rnacentral:rRNA from 1 species